GGAGACCUGUGGCUCAGCGGCAGAGCCACGCAGAAGGUCCCAGGUUCAAUCCCCAGUGUCUCCA